CUUCAGGGAUCCCAGCCACAGCGGUUCCGCGCGGUCCUGGCCGUACGUCGCCAGCAGCGCCUGCGCCUC
rnacentral:antisense_RNA from 1 species